UCCAGCCCUCACUGAAAGCUAGGAAGGACCAAGCACAUCUCAGAAAAGCACAAGAUGGAUCAACAAGAUGGAUGGCCAGACAUCCUUCAGUCAGUAGCUGAAACCUUAAGCAGUGGUCAGCAUUCUCACUGAAGCUGAGGAAGGUCUGUUUUCUUCCGCAACUGCUAGGCAAAAGGAUAUGGAUCCUGAUCUGUUUGAGUCAGUGGCAUAUUCAAUCAAUUCAGAGGAGGUCAUACAAGUGUUUCUGCAGUACACACAGUAAAUGCUUUAACUAACA